rnacentral:rRNA from 1 species
AGUGCCGUAGUUAACACAAUAAGCACUCCGCCUGGGGAGUACGGUCGCAAGACUGAAACUCAAAGGAAUUGACGGGGGCCCGCACAAGCGGUGGAGUAUGUGGUUUAAUUCGACGCAACGCGAAGAACCUUACCAGGGCUUGACAUCGCGUGAAAGCUCUAGAGAUAGAGACCUCUACUUCGGUAGACACGUAGACAGGUGGUGCAUGGUUGUCGUCAGCUCGUGUCGUGAGAUGUUGGGUUAAGUCCCGCAACGAGCGCAACCCCUAAGAUUAGUUGCCAGCACGUAAAGGUGGGAACUCUAAUGUGACUGCCGUUGACAAAACGGAGGAAGGUGGG